rnacentral:rRNA from 1 species
AACGAACGCUGGCGGCGUGCCUAACACAUGCAAGUCGAGCGAGAAAGUCUCCGCAAGGGGGCGAGUAAAGCGGCGCACGGGUGAGUAACACGUGGGUAACCUGCCUGGAAGACCGGAACAACCUUCCGAAAGGAGGGCUAAUACCGGAUAAGACCACGGGGACUUUGGUCCCUGAGGUAAAAAGACGGCCUCUGUACACAAGCUGUCACCUCCAGAGGGGCCCGCGGCCCAUCAGCUAGUUGGCGGGGUAACGGCCCACCAAGGCAACGACGGGUAGCUGGUCUGAGAGGACGAUCAGCCACACUGGAACUGAGACACGGUCCAGACUCCUACGGGAGGCAGCAGUGGGGAAUUUUGCGCAAUGGGCGAAAGCCUGACGCAGCAACGCCGCGUGAGUGAUGAAGGUCUUCGGAUCGUAAAGCUCUUUCGGCCGGGACGAAAACGUCGGAGCGAACAGCUCCGGCCUUGACGGUACCGGAAGAAGAAGCACCGGCUAACUCUGUGCCAGCCGCCGCGGUAAUAC